rnacentral:rRNA from 1 species
AAGAGACAGCAGUCGCCGCGGUAAUACGAAGGGUGCAAGCGUUAAUCGGAAUUACUGGGCGUAAAGCGUGCGUAGGCGGUGAGUUAAGUCUGCUGUGAAAUCCCCGGGCUCAACCUGGGAAUGGCAGUGGAUACUGGCUCGCUAGAGUGUGUCAGAGGAUGGUGGAAUUCCCGGUGUAGCGGUGAAAUGCGUAGAGAUCGGGAGGAACAUCAGUGGCGAAGGCGGCCAUCUGGGACAACACUGACGCUGAGGCACGAAAGCGUGGGGAGCAAACAGGAUUAGAUACCCCAGUAGUCCCUGUCUCUUAUAC